UGGGGAAUAUUGCACAAUGGGCGCAAGCCUGAUGCAGCCAUGCCGCGUGUAUGAAGAAGGCCUUCGGGUUGUAAAGUACUUUCAGCGGGGAGGAAGGGAGUAAAGUUAAUACCUUUGCUCAUUGACGUUACCCGCAGAAGAAGCACCGGCUAACUCCGUGCCAGCAGCCGCGGUAAUACGGAGGGUGCAAGCGUUAAUCGGAAUUACUGGGCGUAAAGCGCACGCAGGCGGUUUGUUAAGUCAGAUGUGAAAUCCCCGGGUUCAACCUGGGAACUGCAUCUGAUACUGGCAAGCUUGAGUCUCGUAGAGGGGGGUAGAAUUCCAGGUGUAGCGGUGAAAUGCGUAGAGAUCUGGAGGAAUACCGGUGGCGAAGGCGGCCCCCUGGACGAAGACUGACGCUCAGGUGCGAAAGCGUGGGGAGCAAACAGG
rnacentral:rRNA from 1 species